CACGUGGGUAACCUGCCCAAGAGACUGGGAUAACACCUGGAAACAGAUGCUAAUACCGGAUAACAACACUAGACGCAUGUCUAGAGUUUAAAGAUGGUUCUGCUAUCACUCUUGGAUGGACCUGCGGUGCAUUAGCUAGUUGGUAAGGUAACGGCUUACCAAGGCAAUGAUGCAUAGCCGAGUUGAGAGACUGAUCGGCCACAUUGGGACUGAGACACGGCCCAAACUCCUACGGAAGGCAGCAG
rnacentral:rRNA from 1 species